UACGGAGGGUGCGAGCGUUGUCCGGAAUCACUGGGCGUAAAGCGCACGUAGGCGGAUCGCUAAGUCAGGGGUGAAAUCCUGGAGCUCAACUCCAGAACUGCCUUUGAUACUGGCGAUCUUGAGUCCGGGAGAGGUGAGUGGAACUGCGAGUGUAGAGGUGAAAUUCGUAGAUAUUCGCAAGAACACCAGUGGCGAAGGCGGCUCACUGGCCCGGUACUGACGCUGAGGUGCGAAAGCGUGGGAGCCAAACAGGG
rnacentral:rRNA from 1 species